AGCAGCCACUCAUUAAAAGAGUGCGUAAUAGCUCACUGGUCAAGUGAUGCUGCGCCGAAGAUAUAACGGGGCUAAGUGUAUAACCGAAGCUUAGGCAGGAAAAAAACUGGGUAGGGGAGCGUUCCAUAUAGGGAGAAGCAUAAGCGGAAGCGUGUGUGGACAGUAUGGAAGUGAGAAUGCCGGAAUGAGUAGCGAGAAUUGCGUGAGAAUCGUAAUGGCCGAAAAUCUAAGGGUUCCAGGGGUAGGUUCGUCCGCCCUGGGUAAGCCGGGAGCUAAGGCGAGGCCGAGAGGCGUAGUCGAUGCACAUACGGUAGAGAUUCCGUAGCCGCCGAAGAUUUAAGUAUGCUGACACAUGAGAAGAGAUUAAGCCGGGCGAUGGUAGACCCGGUCGAAAGGGACUGAAAAAAAGUAGGGAAGUAAUCAAAUCUUGUGGCGAGAAAAGGCAUAAGGGAUAUCGAAGGCGCCCGUACCGCAAACCGACACAGGUAGAUGAGGAGAGAAUCCUAAGGCCAACGGGAGAAGGGUUGUUAAGGAACUCGGCAUAAUGACCCCGUAACUUCGGGAAAAGGGGAGCCUCAGAAAUGAGGCCGCAGUGAAAAGGCCCAGGCGACUGUUUAACAAAAACAUAGGUCUCUGCAAAACCGAAAGGUGAGGUAUAGGGGCUGACGCCUGCCCGGUGCCGGAAGGUCAAGGGGAACACUAAGAGGUAACUCGAAGGUGAGAACUUAAGCCCCGGUAAACGGCGGCCGUAACUAUAACGGUCCUAAGGUAGCGAAAUUCCUUGUCAGGUAAGUUCUGACCCGCACGAAUGGCGUAACGAUCUGGGCACUGUCUCAACAGCCCGCCCGGCGAAAUUGUAGUACCGGUGAAGAUGCCGGUUACCCGCGACUAGACGGAAAGACCCCAUGGAGCUUUACUGUAGCCUGAUAUUGAGAUUCGUUUCAUUAUGUACAGGAUAGGUGGGAGACAGAGAAGGAUGUGCGUCAGCAUGUCUGGAGUCGACGUUGGGAUACCACUCUUGAUGAAACGGAUUUCUAACCUGCGUCCGUAAGCCGGGCGGGGGACACUGUCAGGUGGGCAGUUUGACUGGGGCGGUCGCCUCCAAAAGAGUAACGGAGGCGUUCAAAGCUUGGCUCAGCGCGGACGGAAAUCGCGCAAAGAGUAUAAACGCAGAAGCCAGGUUAACUGUGAGACCAACAAGUCGAGCAGAUACGAAAGUAGGAGUUAGUGAUCAGGUGGUAGUGAGUGGAAAUGCCA
rnacentral:rRNA from 1 species